UACGUAGGGUGCAAGCGUUGUCCGGAAUUAUUGGGCGUAAAGAGCUCGUAGGCGGUUUGUCGCGUCUGCUGUGAAAACUCGGGGCUUAACUCCGGGCCUGCAGUGGGUACGGGCAGACUAGAGUGCGGUAGGGGAGACUGGAAUUCCUGGUGUAGCGGUGGAAUGCGCAGAUAUUAGGAAGAACACCGAUGGCGAAGGCAGGUCUCUGGGCUGUUACUGACGCUGAGGAGCGAGAGCGUGGGGAGCGAACAGG
rnacentral:rRNA from 1 species